AGUGAACGCUGGCGGUAGGCCUAACACAUGCAAGUCGAACGGCAGCACAGUAAGAGCUUGCUCUUACGGGUGGCGAGUGGCGGACGGGUGAGGAAUACAUCGGAAUCUACUUUUUCGUGGGGGAUAACGUAGGGAAACUUACGCUACUACCGCAUACGACCUACGGGUGAAAGCAGGGGAUCUUCGGACCUUGCGCGAUUGAAUGAGCCGAUGUCGGAUUAGCUAGUUGGCGGGGUAAAGGCCCACCAAGGCGACGAUCCGUAGCUGGUCUGAGAGGAUGAUCAACCACACUGGAACUGAGACACGGUCCAGACUCCGACGGGAGGCAGCAGUGGGGAAUAUUGGACAAUGGGCGCGAGCCUGAGCCAGCCAUACCGCGUGGGUGAAGAAGGCCUUCGGGUUGUAAAGCCCUUUUGUUGGGAAAGAAAAGCAGCAGGUUAAUACCCCGCUGUUCUGACGGUACCCAAAGAUUGAGCACCGGCUAACUACGU
rnacentral:rRNA from 1 species